GCCAGGCCCCAGAGGGUCCACCCAUAACGCCUGCCCUGACAAGAUUAUCGAUAAAACAUGGGAUGUGUAAUUUGCUAGGUCUUAGCAGGUGAAUCAUUCAUUUUCUAAUGAUUAUGCUAGCUAGCUAUGGCUCCAUACAGAAGACAAUAUAAUGAGUAAAAAAAACAGACUGGUCUCAGACUAGACGUAACAUAGUAAACUUAAAUCCGGGACACUCAAAUUAGUAUAUGUUAUGUUUGGCAUGGUUACAUUUAAGGCAAAAAUGAAAGUAGAGUGGGUGGUAAGGGUGGGCGCCUAACGCGAACAUCUAGCAACCCAAAAGGUUGACCGUUCAAAUCUCAUCAUUUUAGCUAAUUAACUACUUAGCAACUACUUAGCAUAUUAGCUAACCCUUCCCCUUAACAGAACCCCUAACCUUAACCCCAAACUCCUAGCGCUAGCCAACACUAGCCACUUAGCUAAUGUUAGCAACAACAAAUUGGAAUUCGUAACAUAUACGUUUUGCAAUUUCUUAACACAUUGUACAUUUUACAAAUUCUGAGCAUAUUGUACUAAAUAGAGUCUCGGAUUUAAGUACAAAAUAAUACAAAAUGCUCCGAGACCACGUUGGCCAAAUGGCCAAAGAACGUUGGCUGAACUGGAAUACCAGUGCGAGGCAAUUACAAAUGAAUAGAACCUAAGCAAAGCUGGGCCUCUGACUGCAGUGAAGCUUAGAAUUCCACUUUCCCGAAAUGGCACCAAAACAUUGGUCCCUUUUCAUUUCAGCACGACAAUCUGUUCUUAGGACGAAACUGAACAAUCACUUGUGUCGAAACUAAACAUCCACACCCCGGUGUCAAGUGUACUUAAGUCUGCGAAAUGAGGAAGUAGGAAAGAAACAAACUUCUGACCAAAAUAUACAAGUUGAAAGAGAGCGACUGUUAGAGGGGAAUAAAAGCAGUCCAAGAGGUACAGUAACCCACAGAAACACAGGAGAAGAGGAACAUGGGGAUGUACAUGGGUAUGGUUCUGUAACAGGUACAAAAACAGAGAUAAUACAUACGAACAGAGCAGGAUGAACGUAUGCAUAGCAAAUGAGCUACAACAGAGAACAAAAAUGGAACAGAACUGCAAAAGCACAAUAGUGUGGGUUAGGCUGGCUAGCCAAUCAGGACCACGGAGAGACUGCAUGGAGAAAGGCUGAGGAUGGGUCUGCACUUCUGAUUGUUGGCAAACAGGCGGCACCCUUCUGAAAGCGAACUGCUCAGCUCUUUUGAGAGCUAUCAGAUGAAAAGAAACAAAGAGGGGGAAAAAGAAGAUUUUCAGUGUGUUUAUACAGUUGAAGUCAGAAGUUAACUUAGCCAAAUAUAUUUAAACUCAGUUUUUCACAAUUCCUGACAUUUAAUCCUAGUAAAAAAAUCCCUGUAUUAGGUCAGUUAGGAUCACCACGUCAUUUUAAGAAUGUUAAAUGUCAGAAUAAUAGUUGAGACAAUGAUUUAUUUAAGCUUUUAUUUCUUUCAUCACAUUCCCAGUAGGUCAGAAGUUUACAUACACUUAAUUGGUAUUUGGUAGCAUUGCCUUUAAAUUGUUUAACUUGGGCCAAACGUUUCAGGUAGCCUUCCACAAGCUUCCCACAAUAAGUUGGGUGAAUUUUGUCCCAUUCCUCCUCACAGAGCUGGUGUAACUGAGUCAGGUUUGUAGGCCUCCUUGCUCGCACACACUUUUUCAGUUCUACCCACACAUUUUCUAGGAUUGAGGUCAGGGCUUUGUGAUGGCCACUACAAUAGCUUGACUUUGUUGUCCUUUAAGCCAUUUUGCCACAACUUUGGAAGUAUGCUUGGGUUCAUUGUCCAUUUGGAAGACUCAUUUGCGACCAAGUUUUAACUUCCCGACUAAUGUCUUGAGAUGUUGCUUCAAUAUAUCAUGAUGCCAUCUAUUUUGUGAAGUGCACCAGGCCCUCCUGGUUCUAUUUUUGUUCAGAACAGAGGAUAUUUCUCCAAAAAAUACAAUCUUUGUCCCCAUGUGCAGUUGUAAACCGUAGUCUGGCUUUUUAUGGCGGUUUUGGAGUAGUGGCUUCUUCCUUGCUGAGCAGCCUUUCAGGUUAUGUCGAUAUUGGACUCGUUUUACUGUGGAUAUAGAUACUCUUGUACUUUUUUUUCUGAGGUCUUGGCUGAUUUCUUUGGAUUUUCCCAUGAUGUCAAGCAAAGAGGCACCGAGUUUGAAGGUAGGCAUUGAAAGACAUCCACAGGUACACCUCCAAUUGACUCAAAUUAUGUCAAUUAGCCUAUCAGAAGCUUCUAAAGCCAUGACAUAAUUUUCUGGAAUUGUCUGAGGUGUUUAAAGGCACAGUCAACUAAGUGUUGUAAACUUCUGACCCACUGGAAUUGUGAUACAGUGAAUUAAUCUGUGUAAACAAUUGUUGGAAAAAUGAUUUGUGUCAUGGACAAAGUAGAUGUCCUAACAAGAAACAAACAAGAAAGGUGUGGAGUGAUUGCAUAACAAGCUUUAAUGACUCCAACCUAAGUGUGUAAACUUCAACUGUAUAUUAAGGGGUUGUUACUUUGGCAAAUGUUAUCUAAAGAGUGUUUUUUAAUAAUUAACCAAAUUUAUUGUGUUUUUGUUUUACAUGCAUGCCCAUUAGUUUCAUUAUUUAUUGUUAUGCUGUAAAUUGGUAUUUUCUGGUUGUAAGCAGUGGGAUUUUUAGCAUGUAAAUCUUGGUGGGGAAAACGCAAUUAUACCAUUUUUUGAUGCAUGCCAGCAGAACCACUACACAACAUGUUAUUUUAUUAGGUCCAUGUGAUUGAAAAGGGAAGGAAAAUACAAUACAUGAGUCAAUAACUGAACUUUUUGUUAAAAAAACAAACAUUAUGGGAAGUGUCACUGGCAAACAUGGUUACAGACCCAACAACAUAUAUAGUAUCCCUCCAUGAAGAAAAUAAUGAGCUAAUUAUAAUACAAAAUAAAUAAAAGAAUGAAAUCAUU